rnacentral:rRNA from 1 species
UACGUAGGGUGCAAGCGUUGUCCGGAAUUAUUGGCGUAAAGAGCUCGUAGGCGGUCUGUCGCGUCGGCUGUGAAAACCCGGGGCUCAACCCCGGGCCUGCAGUCGAUACGGGCAGACUAGAGUGUGGUAGGGGGAGACUGGAAUUCCUGGUGUAGCGGUGAAAUGCGCAGAUAUCAGGAGGAACACCGGUGGCGAAGGCGGGUCUCUGGGCCAUAACUGACGCUGAGGAGCGAAAGCGUGGGGAGCGAACGG